GUACUGAUGAAGAGUCGCAAACAAGGACGAAACAGCUUUCCAGUAC
rfam:Trichobilharzia regenti genome assembly, scaffold: TRE_scaffold0047834